ACUCCUACGGGAGGCAGCAGUGGGGAAUAUUGGACAAUGGGCGAAAGCCUGAUCCAGCCAUGCCGCGUGUGUGAAGAAGGUCUUCGGAUUGUAAAGCACUUUAAGUUGGGAGGAAGGGCAGUUACCUAAUACGUGAUUGUUUUGACGUUACCGACAGAAUAAGCACCGGCUAACUCUGUGCCAGCACCGCGGUAA
rnacentral:rRNA from 1 species